rnacentral:rRNA from 1 species
GAUGAACGCUGGCGGCGUGCUUAACACAUGCAAGUCGAACGGAAAGGCUCCUGCUUGCAGGGGUACUCGAGUGGCGAACGGGUGAGUAACACGUGGGUGAUCUGCCCUGCACUUCGGGAUAAGCCUGGGAAACUGGGUCUAAUACCGGAUAGGACGAUGGUUUGGAUGCCAUUGUGUAAAGUUUUGCGGUGUGGGAUGAGCUGGCGGCCUAUCAGCUUGUUGGUCGGGUAAUGGCCUACCAAGGCGUCGACGGGUAGCCGGCCUGGGAGGGUGUACGGCCACAUUGGGACUGAGGUACGGCGCAGACGCCUACGGGAGGCAGCAGUGGGGAAUAUUGCACAAUGGGCGCAAGCCUGAUGCAGCGACGCCGCGUGGGGGAUGACGGCCUUCUGGUUGUAAACUACUUUCGCUAGGGACGAAGCGCAAGUGACGGUACCUGGAGAAGAAGCACCGGCUAACUACGUG